rnacentral:rRNA from 1 species
CCGAAUGGGGAAACCCAGCAUGAGUUAUGUCAUGUUAUCGAUAUGUGAAUACAUAGCAUAUCAGAAGGCACACCCGGAGAACUGAAACAUCUUAGUACCCGGAGGAAGAGAAAGAAAAUUCGAUUCCCUUAGUAGCGGCGAGCGAAACGGGAAGAGCCCAAACCAACAAGCUUGCUUGUUGGGGUUGUAGGACACUCUAUACGGAGUUACAAAGGACGACAUUAGACGAAUCAUCUGGAAAGAUGAAUCAAAGAAGGUAAUAAUCCUGUAGUCGAAAAUGUUGUCUCUCUUGAGUGGAUCCUGAGUACGACGGAGCACGUGAAAUUCCGUCGGAAUCUGGGAGGACCAUCUCCUAAGGCUAAAUACUCUCUAGUGACCGAUAGUGAACCAGUACCGUGAGGGAAAGGUGAAAAGCACCCCGGAAGGGGAGUGAAAUAGAACCUGAAACCGUGUGCUUACAAGUAGUCAGAGCCCGUUAAUGGGUGAUGGCGUGCCUUUUGUAGAAUGAACCGGCGAGUUACGAUUUGAUGCAAGGUUAAGCAGUAAAUGUGGAGCCGUAGCGAAAGCGAGUCUGAAUAGGGCGUUUAGUAUUUGGUCGUAGACCCGAAACCAGGUGAUCUACCCUUGGUCAGGUUGAAGUUCAGGUAACACUGAAUGGAGGACCGAACCGACUUACGUUGAAAAGUGAGCGGAUGAACUGAGGGUAGCGGAGAAAUUCCAAUCGAACCUGGAGAUAGCUGGUUCUCUCCGAAAUAGCUUUAGGGCUAGCCUCAAGUGAUGAUUAUUGGAGGUAGAGCACUGUUUGGACGAGGGGCCCCUCUCGGGUUACCGAAUUCAGACAAACUCCGAAUGCCAAUUAAUUUAACUUGGGAGUCAGAACAUGGGUGAUAAGGUCCGUGUUCGAAAGGGAAACAGCCCAGACCACCAGCUAAGGUCCCAAAAUAUAUGUUAAGUGGAAAAGGAUGUGGCGUUGCCCAGACAACUAGGAUGUUGGCUUAGAAGCAGCCAUCAUUUAAAGAGUGCGUAAUAGCUCACUAGUCGAGUGACACUGCGCCGAAAAUGUACCGGGGCUAAACAUAUUACCGAAGCUGUGGAUUGUCCUUUGGACAAUGGUAGGAGAGCGUUCUAAGGGCGUUGAAGCAUGAUCGUAAGGACAUGUGGAGCGCUUAGAAGUGAGAAUGCCGGUGUGAGUAGCGAAAGACGGGUGAGAAUCCCGUCCACCGAUUGACUAAGGUUUCCAGAGGAAGGCUCGUCCGCUCUGGGUUAGUCGGGUCCUAAGCUGAGGCCGACAGGCGUAGGCGAUGGAUAACAGGUUGAUAUUCCUGUACCACCUAUAAUCGUUUUAAUCGAUGGGGGGACGCAGUAGGAUAGGCGAAGCGUGCGAUUGGAUUGCACGUCUAAGCAGUAAGGCUGAGUAUUAGGCAAAUCCGGUACUCGUUAAGGCUGAGCUGUGAUGGGGAGAAGACAUUGUGUCUUCGAGUCGUUGAUUUCACACUGCCGAGAAAAGCCUCUAGAUAGAAAAUAGGUGCCCGUACCGCAAACCGACACAGGUAGUCAAGAUGAGAAUUCUAAGGUGAGCGAGCGAACUCUCGUUAAGGAACUCGGCAAAAUGACCCCGUAACUUCGGGAGAAGGGGUGCUCUUUAGGGUUAACGCCCAGAAGAGCCGCAGUGAAUAGGCCCAAGCGACUGUUUAUCAAAAACACAGGUCUCUGCUAAACCGUAAGGUGAUGUAUAGGGGCUGACGCCUGCCCGGUGCUGGAAGGUUAAGAGGAGUGGUUAGCUUCUGCGAAGCUACGAAUCGAAGCCCCAGUAAACGGCGGCCGUAACUAUAACGGUCCUAAGGUAGCGAAAUUCCUUGUCGGGUAAGUUCCGACCCGCACGAAAGGCGUAACGAUUUGGGCACUGUCUCAACGAGAGACUCGGUGAAAUCAUAGUACCUGUGAAGAUGCAGGUUACCCGCGACAGGACGGAAAGACCCCGUGGAGCUUUACUGUAGCCUGAUAUUGAAAUUCGGCACAGCUUGUACAGGAUAGGUAGGAGCCUUUGAAACGUGAGCGCUAGCUUACGUGGAGGCGCUGGUGGGAUACUACCCUAGCUGUGUUGGCUUUCUAACCCGCACCACUUAUCGUGGUGGGAGACAGUGUCAGGCGGGCAGUUUGACUGGGGCGGUCGCCUCCUAAAAGGUAACGGAGGCGCUCAAAGGUUCCCUCAGAAUGGUUGGAAAUCAUUCAUAGAGUGUAAAGGCAUAAGGGAGCUUGACUGCGAGACCUACAAGUCGAGCAGGGUCGAAAGACGGACUUAGUGAUCCGGUGGUUCCGCAUGGAAGGGCCAUCGCUCAACGGAUAAAAGCUACCCCGGGGAUAACAGGCUUAUCUCCCCCAAGAGUUCACAUCGACGGGGAGGUUUGGCACCUCGAUGUCGGCUCAUCGCAUCCUGGGGCUGUAGUCGGUCCCAAGGGUUGGGCUGUUCGCCCAUUAAAGCGGUACGCGAGCUGGGUUCAGAACGUCGUGAGACAGUUCGGUCCCUAUCCGUCGUGGGCGUAGGAAAUUUGAGAGGAGCUGUCCUUAGUACGAGAGGACCGGGAUGGACAUACCUCUGGUGUACCAGUUGUCGUGCCAACGGCAUAGCUGGGUAGCUAUGUGUGGACGGGAUAAGUGCUGAAAGCAUCUAAGCAUGAAGCCCCCCUCAAGAUGAGAUUUCCCAACUUCGGUUAUAAGAUCCCUCAAAGAUGAUGAGGUUAAUAGGUUCGAGGUGGAAGCAUGGUGACAUGUGGAGCUGACGAAUACUAAUCGAUCGAAGACUUAAUCAA